GUCAAAUUCUCUAUGGCUAUAUUUUAAGAAAUUUUAAAUAUAUUUCUUAUCUAUACGGUUGUAAGUGAAGGAAAAGAUCUCAGCUAAUCUUGAAAAUGAGGAAAAAUUGUGGAGUGGUUGUUUGGAUGAUCUCAGAAUGGCUCUGCUUGGCACCACUGGUUUAACUUUAGAAAGUAAAUACUCUUUAGAUGUCCAGAGAACAAAUAUCCUAAGCACGUAUCAGUCACACGCAUUUUCAGAAUCAAUCAGUCAUCAAAGAGGGAUUAAUAAUCUGUUCUGCUCAACAGAAAAACACAAAACGACUCUUCUUGGCCUCAGCUUUCUGGAAAUGUGUCUGCAGGAAGCCAGUGCCUAAAAUAUUGUGUCAAAAAUGCUCAUAUGUGUUCAUUCACAUGAAGACAACCACUGAAGUGCUCCUGGGACACAUUAACAUCCAUGAGAGGAAUUCUGCUGAAAAUACACCAUCUAAUGGUGCCACCUGCUCGGCUUCUGAAAAAUCUAGGUGAGUAUGAAGCAGCUGAUUCACAAAUGAACCCUUGAAUUCCAAAGCCUACAGCAGCCCGUAAAAAUGCAGAUCUCAGACCACACUGCCGACAGCUGCUGUACUCAAGUUGAAGACUAAAGUUCUGGAGGCCAGAAGUUCAAAAUACAGCUGGGACCAAAGGCAUCUUUAAGGAAGGAUACAGUCCUUGCCUCUUCCAGGGUUCUGAGCCUCCUGUUGGAAUCAGCUCACUAACCAGUGGAAACAAACUGUUUAUCCUUCCAUGAUAUUGUAACUGCCUGGGCUUUCUAAUGCAUCUUCAGAUUUCAGUUUGUACUCAGAACAAGUGAGAAAAGUUUUACAGAAACUCCACGAAACAAAGCAGGCAGGCUCUCCUGAAGCCAAGGAUUUAUGAUAAAGGCAGGCAUCACGCACUGAAUCAAGUAUGCCAUUACCCUCACUCCCAUGAACCUGUCUUUCAGCACAAUCCACGACAGCAAGAAGACAAAGGCUUUGCUACAACAGAACAGAGCGGAGACAUCCGUGGCUGUCAGCUUCUUUAAAGCCAGUAAAUAAAGGAAAGAAAAGAGAAGUUAAUAUCCAGGUACUGAUGGUGACACCUCUUGUCUUAUCUGACUCAUCGCAGCCAUUUUCAGUCAUGAGAGCUUCGGGAGUAACUACUUGGCAGAUGGUAUUAAUGAGUACACAGGGAAAAAAACAUCAAGG